UACGAAGGGGGCUAGCGUUGCUCGGAUUUACUGGGCGUAAAGCGCACGUAGGCGGAUGGUUAAGUCAGGGGUGAAAUCCCGCAGCUCAACUGCGGAACUGCCUUUGAUACUGGCCAUCUCGAGUCCGGAAGAGGUGAGUGGAACUCCUAGUGUAGAGGUGGAAUUCGUAGAUAUUAGGAAGAACACCAGUGGCGAAGGCGGCUCACUGGUCCGGAACCGACGCUGAGGUGCGAAAGCGUGGGGAGCAAACAGG
rnacentral:misc_RNA from 1 species